GGGCGCCGUCGAAGAUACAGUGACCGAUGACGCCGCUGUGCUGACGGAGGAGGAGCUUCCUGACGGGGGUGCGCGGCUCGUCGGGGGUGAAGGCGACGUGGUACACACACAGACACCACUCCGGCCGCGCCAUCACCUGGUAGUAAUUGUCUGUGGUGGUCGGCGAGUCGCAGGAGCAGGUGGUAGAGGAGUGUCACGACUGAGCGGAGAUGGUGAGAAGACGCCCAAAGGGAUCAGCGCUUCCGUCAGCACAUGCCUCCCCUCGUCGCCUCUCCCUCGCCACUGCAAAGGAGAUAAUUUACCACCAUUAUAAACUGCGCCCUUACUUGCCUCAGAAUCAAAGUAUAAAUUCAAGUCAAGCAGCAUGGACUGGAGCAAAGCAUUUAACACGCAUAAAUCACACGAGUCUCGGGCUUACCUCUUCACGACGGUCACCUCCUCACGUCGCGGCCGCCACCGGAACACUGACCAGCAAGAAGCCAGCCCUCCCCAGCCCCGCCAAUCAAGAGCCGAUGGUUCUCCUCGAAGCUUCGGAGCGUCGAAACAAACUGAAAGGUACUUGACGAGCGAAUCCUACAUCCUCUCCCUCCCUCUACCCCCACCUCCACUCUCUCAACUGGGUCAUUAUUGUAUAUUUUCUUACCAUCAUUACUACUGCUGCGCCUAUUAUCAUUAGCCACUAGGGUGAUAGUCAUGUAUAAAAGAAACAGGAAUCAAUAAAAUAAGUAUUGAAAAUUAUUA